AACGAACGCUGGCGGCAUGCCUAACACAUGCAAGUCGAACGGGAUCCUAGCUUGCUAGGUGAGAGUGGCGGACGGGUGAGUAACACGUGGGAAUCUGCCUUUUGGUUCGGGAUAACCGCGGGAAACUGCGGCUAAUACCGAAUGCCCUCGAGAGAGGAAAGAUUUAUCGCCAGAAGAGGAGCCCGCGUCCGAUUAGGUAGUUGGUGGGGUAAAGGCCUACCAAGCCGACGAUCGGUAGCUGGUCUGAGAGGAUGAUCAGCCACACUGGGACUGAGACACGGCCCAGACUCCUACGGGAGGCAGCAGUGGGAAUAUUGGACAAUGGGCGAAAGCCUGAUCCAGCAAUGCCGCGUGAGUGAUGAAGGCCCUAGGGUUGUAAAGCUCUUUUACCAGGGAUGAUAAUGACAGUACCUGGAGAAUAAGCUCCGGCUAACUCCGUGCCAGCAG
rnacentral:rRNA from 1 species